AGGAAUUUAGGUUAAAUAGACCAAGAGCCUUCAAAGCUCUAAGUAAGUGAUCUCACUUAAUUCCUG
rnacentral:tRNA from 1 species